CUAUUCUAAACUAUUUAAAUCCUGUCCACUUGACUGCUCUCCAACAGAUGUUAAAGUGAUAUUAAGACAAAGCUCCUACAGUUAGCAAACAUUUUCUGAUGUCACUCACCAUGCUGGAGGUGUGACAGACCUUUCAGUGCACACGCACAGGAGAAAGUGAAGUCAUUUUGAUGUUAUCAUCCGGUGCUGCCCUCUCCGAGUUGAACCAAGUGAAGUAGAGGACACACACUCACCUGCACUGUCUCACUUUACUGCACACAUUUUUGCAUCAAAUUCACGAGGAGGCGGUAAGUAGUUUGGUGUGCCUGAAGGGCGUUGAAAGGCAGACACACACAUAUGCAUUGAAGUCCACAGGGGUAAACCACAUUUGAUGAAUGAAUUGGCAACACACUCUUGUUUGUUCCCCUCUGGCGUCGCUCGUCAGAAUGUCAUGACUCAGUACAGGCAGAAACAGAAAGGUGUUUGCCGUGACUUUGUAAUGCUGCCGCCAUCUCACAGGUCGUUGCCGAGCCACAGGAGGGCUUCCCCUUGGAGAAGGCCACACGUACCUGAUUUCUUCCUUUGGUACAGGAAGCCCAGUGUGGACUACACUAUCUUUACACUAUUUGCAAUCUGACCAGGAUUUCAUCUUGACCGGUCAUGUUGACCCUGGAUUACAUGUCUGGAGACAGCCUCUAAUUCCUCAUUUCUGAGAUCUGACCACCACAUGACAGGAAGGGCUGCACCUCAUGGCUGGAAAAAGCAUCUUUCUACAUUGAUGGCCAUUAGAGAGUUUGUGUAUUUUAGCAUAAUUAAAGUGGCUCGCAGGCAACAUAGAAAUGACAGAAAUUUCAGAAAUGUCACAUGCUUAUGCUUUAAGUGCCCAGAAUUAUCUGGAGCUGAACACUCAUGAACACAGAUGGCAGAAUACCUGCGGCAGCUGAGCAACUGCCUUUGAAAUAAAUGGCAAAGCUAACAGACAGCACUCUCCUGGAAUUAUAGACCUUCUUGUGCUUCCCUUGCAAACAUUGGACAGUGUUAUUCCCUACCACACUUUUACUAGAUACAAAUGAAUAUUUCAACUGCUUUUUCAUCUCUCUAACUCCUGAGUUGUUAUUUUUAAAAAUGAGGAAAAAACUUUUAUAUUUUACUCCCUCUGGUUCUUUUUUCUUUUCCUCGCUCUGAUCCUCUCCAAGGCCACCUGAAGCUUCCAACUCCCAGUUUGUUCUUUGGGGUUCUUGGAUCCUUUACAGUCCCCCCACCCCCCAUUCUCAAUCGCUCUGAGCACACAAACUCUACAAGGACAAAACAAGGCAAACAUGGCAGAUCUGAAGGAAAGUGUGUUGGAAUGUUCUCUGGUCCUAUUGAAGUGGUUGGUUUGUUAUUUCCACCAGCUGUCAACUGUCCAAAGCCGAGCAUGUUCGACACGCAUUUCCCCGUUUAUCUUCAGCACAACUUCCCAUGAGACUGCAGCUCCACCGUAACAAAGCAACAUCACUACAUCAAAGUCAGCCAGACUUUGUGCGACCAUCAAGUACUUGUGUUUUUCCACCUGUGAUUUGGAAUGACAAAACUCACAAAAACAGUAUUCCCAAAGAAAACUCUAAAAUUCCUUAAACUGCACCACACAGGUGUCCAGAGUUUGUGUUACACUAAGUGGUAAUUUUUACUGAUGUGUUCCAAAACAAGAAACAUUAAACUUUUUAAAUUAUACAAUUGGCAUAGAAGCAGAAUUCAGAGAGAGCUGAAG
ensembl:lncRNA